GAUGAAGAACGCAGCGAAAUGCGAUAAGUAAUGUGAAUUGCAGAAUUCAGUGAAUCAUCGAAUCUUUGAACGCACAUUGCGCCCGCCAGUAUUCUGGCGGGCAUGCCUGUUCGAGCGUCAUUACAACCCUCAGGCCCCCGGGCCUGGCGUUGGGGAUCGGCGGAAGCCCCCUGCGGGCACAACGCCGUCCCCCAAAUACAGUGGCGGUCCCGCCGCAGCUUCCAUUGCGUAGUAGCUAACACCUCGCAACUGGAGAGCGGCGCGGCCACGCCGUAAAACACCCAACUUCUGAAUGUUGACCUCGAAUCAGGUAGGAAUACCCGCUGAACUUAAGCAUCUCAAUAAGCGGAGGA
rnacentral:misc_RNA from 1 species